rnacentral:rRNA from 1 species
UGGGGAAUAUUGGACAAUGGGCGAACGCCUGAUCCAGCCAUGCCGCGUGUGUGAAGAAGGCCUUUUGGUUGUAAAGCACUUUAAGUGGGGAGGAAAAGCUUAUGGUUAAUACCCAUAAGCCCUGACGUUACCCACAGAAUAAGCACCGGCUAACUCUGUGCCAGCAGCCGCGGUAAUACAGAGGGUGCAAGCGUUAAUCGGAAUUACUGGGCGUAAAGCGCGCGUAGGUGGUUAUUUAAGUCAGAUGUGAAAGCCCCGGGCUUAACCUGGGAACUGCAUCUGAUACUGGAUAACUAGAGUAGGUGAGAGGGGAGUAGAAUUCCAGGUGUAGCGGUGAAAUGCGUAGAGAUCUGGAGGAAUACCGAUGGCGAAGGCAGCUCCCUGGCAUCAUACUGACACUGAGGUGCGAAAGCGUGGGUAGCAAACAGGAUUAGAUACCCUGGUAGUCCACGCCGUAAACGAUGUCUACCAGUCGUUGGGUCUUUUAAAGACUUAGUGACGCAGUUAACGCAAUAAGUAGACCGCCUGGGGAGNACGGCCGCAAGGUU